rnacentral:rRNA from 1 species
AUACCUACGGGGGGCAGCAGUGAGGAAUAUUGGUCAAUGGUCGGGAGACUGAACCAGCCAAGCCGCGUGAGGGAUGAAGGUACAGAGUAUCGUAAACCUCUUUUGUCAGGGAACAAAGGCGGGGACGUGUCCCCGGAUGAGUGUACCUGAAGAAAAAGCAUCGGCUAACUCCGUGCCAGCAGCCGCGGUAAUACGGAGGAUGCGAGCGUUAUCCGGAUUUAUUGGGGUUAAAGGGUGCGUAGGCGGGACCUUAAGUCAGCGGGAAAAUUGCGG